UACGUAGGGGGCAAGCGUUGUCCGGAUUUAUUGGGCGUAAAGAGCGUGUAGGCGGCCAGGUAGGUCAGCUGUGAAAACUCGAGGCUCAACCUCGAGACGUCGGUUGAAACCACCUGGCUAGAGUCCGGAAGAGGAGAGUGGAAUUCCUGGUGUAGCGGUGAAAUGCGCAGAUAUCAGGAAGAACACCCGUGGCGAAGGCGGCUCACUGGCUCAUUUCUGACGCUCAGGCGCGACAGCGUGGGGAUCAAACAGG
rnacentral:rRNA from 1 species